rnacentral:rRNA from 1 species
AGUGAACGCUGGCGGUAGGCCUAACACAUGCAAGUCGAACGGCAGCACAGUAAGAGCUUGCUCUUACGGGUUGCGAGUGGCGGACGUGUGAGGAAUACAUCGUAAUCUACUUUUUCGUGGGGGAUAACGUAGGGAAACUUACGCUAAUACCGCAUACGACCUACGGGUGAAAGCAGGGGAUCUUCGGACCUUGCGCGAUUGAAUGAGCCGAUGUCGGAUUAGCUAGUUGGCGGGGUAAAGGCCCACCAAGGCGGCGAUCCGUAGCUGGUCUGAGAGGAUGAUCAGCCACACUGGAACUGAGACACGGUCAAGACUCCUACGGGAGGCAGCAGUGGGGAAUAUUGGACAAUGGGCGCAAGCCUGAUCCAGCCAUACCGCGUGGGUGAAGAAGGCCUUCGGGUUGUAAAGCCCUUUUGUUGGGAAAGAAAAGCAGCAGGUUAAUACCCCGCUGUUCUGACGGUACCCAAAGAAUAAGCACCGGCUAACUUCGUG